GCAUAUACUAUACCAUUUCACAUAUGGGACUUACACAUACACAGAUUUUGAUAUUUGCAGUGGAGUCCUAGAACCAAUCACCAACAAAUUCCAAAGGGAAACUAUGCUGCAGUAGUAAACUUGGUAAGUAGAGCUGCUGUGAUAUAGUAGUAGAGCCUGACUGACUUAUCUUUUCUCACUUAAAAGGUGGUGAUACUACUACUUAUGUUCUGGCAUUUUAAUGGUUAAUUAAAUGCACUUUAAAUGUUAGUUGCUGCUAAUCACAGUUAAUGCUGCCAUGAUAACUACCAACCACUGAAACUGCUCUCACCAGCACCUAUUUCUAUUAUAUUCCAUCUCCUUCCUCCAGGAUUUUUACUCUUUUGUAAAUUGGGAUUAUUUUUUA